rnacentral:rRNA from 1 species
UACAGAGGGGGCAAGCGUUGUUCGGAAUUACUGGGCGUAAAGGGCGCGUAGGCGGCCUUCUAAGUCGAACGUGAAAUCCCCGGGCUCAACCCGGGAACUGCGUCCGAUACUGGGAGGCUUGAAUCCGGGAGAGGGAUGUGGAAUUCCAGGUGUAGCGGUGAAAUGCGUAGAUAUCUGGAGGAAUACCGGUGGCGAAGGCGGCAUCCUGGACCGGCAUUGACGCUGAUGAGCGAAAGCUAGGGGAGCAAACGGG